rnacentral:rRNA from 1 species
AACGCGAAGAACCUUACCAAGGCUUGACAUCCCGCGACCGCGGCAGAAAUGUCGUUUUCCAGCAAUGGACGCGGAGACAGGUGGUGCAUGGUUGUCGUCAGCUCGUGUCGUGAGAUGUUCGGUUAAGUCCGGCAACGAGCGCAACCCUUAUGAUAUGUUGCCAAUAUUAAGUUAGGAACUCAUAUCAGACUGCCGUGGAUAACACGGAGGAAGGCGGGGAUGACGUCAAAUCAUCAUGCCCCUUACGUCUUGGGCAACACACGUGCUACAAUGGGCGUAACAAAGAGCAGCGAGACGGCAACGUUAAGCGAAUCUCAAAAAAACGUUCUCAGUUCAGAUUGUGGGCUGCAACCCGCCCACAUGAAGUAGGAGUUGCUAGUAAUCCCGAAUCAGAAUGUCGGGGUGAAUGCGUUCCCGGGUCUUGUACACACCG